AUCACAAUUUUCAGAAGCCCAACCCCCUUUUUAAUGAAGAACGAUGGCUCACAAAAUGGGACAGCAGAGCUUCUCACCCCAACUUUCAGAGGGGCCACCCCAAAUUACCGGAGCUAGCAAGUUCCAAUUAAACUGCUGAGGUAUCAUCUGAGAGUAAACAUGAACUGGCAAUCAAGAGCAUGCUUUACAAAGCCCAAUGAGCAGAAGAAUGCUAUGGUGUUUUAAUAGUCAGUGGCAAAUAGCCGUUCUUCUCGACCUGAAGUCAAUGCUACAUAUAAAACAUCGGGCUAUGAGAACCUUCGUUGGAGCCUUCUAUGGAUGUUAUCUGUGAUGAAGAACAGGUAUUCUCCACAGAUUCCUGCAGCAUUUAAAAAGUCCUCUUGGGUCAUGCAGCACAGUUGUUGUCC